GGAUUCUGGAAUCAUGACCUGAGCUGAAGGCUGACGCUCAACAGACUGAGCCAUACAGGCGUCCUGUACUCAGUUCAUAUUCAUCACACACCAACUCAGUGGCUGAGAAUCUGCUUGUGGGAGAACUGUCUCCAUUACCAGCUGGCUUGACUCCCCUUUUAAUGGAUAUUUUUGCUUAUAUAACUAAUUCGUGGACUGAGUUAUGUGGGAUACACAGUCUGCAGCAAUGUGAUGACAUUUUGCAGAAUCUGGAAGCAAGACAGCAAUCUUCCUGUAGUACUGGGCUGAGUGGCGCUGGAGCUGGGAUGGGUAUGUGUGGGAUGCUGGGCUGGAGGUCUGGUGGGAAGGACCCACUGCUGAGCAGAGAGGAUUUUAUUCUUACUCUAUAGGGUUUCACCAUGUAGCCUUUAUUUUGUUUGAUUAUUUGAAAUGAAGUCCUAUUACCCUUGUGUUUUCUUUGGGAGGCACUUGAGGAGGUUUAGUUGCUCAGGUUAUGGAAAUCCAGAGAGGAUAAACUAGUAGGAGAAAUAAAAGGUAACAUGAUAUCAAUCCAGCUGUUACUAGAAUCUAGUGUUUGAACUGAGGGAGCGGUCCUGGCAGCCGGGACCAGAACUAGCAUGAGGAGUGUAUGGGCACCAAACAUGCUCUAAGAAAUGUGUGCCAUCAUCCCAGAGACACGGAUCAUAGAUGCAACUGAAUAGGAACAAUGUCUUUUAUGGUCACAUACAUCUGAGACAUGCCACCACCUUAUACACUUCUUUGGUCACAACCUUGAUCUU